GACGAACGCUGGCGGCGUGCCUAAUACAUGCAAGUCGAGCGGACCUCUUCGGAGGUCAGCGGCGGACGGGUGAGUAACACGUGGGCAACCUGCCUGUAAGACUGGGAUAACACCGGGAAACCGGUGCUAAUACCGGAUAAUUCUUUUCCUCACAUGGGGAAAAGCUGAAAGACGGCAUCUCGCUGUCACUUACAGAUGGGCCCGCGGCGCAUUAGCUAGUUGGUGGGGUAACGGCCCACCAAGGCGACGAUGCGUAGCCGACCUGAGAGGGUGAUCGGCCACACUGGGACUGAGACACGGCCCAGACGCCUACGGGAGGCAGCAGUAGGGAAUCUUCCGCAAUGGACGAAAGUCUGACGGAGCAACGCCGCGUGAGCGAAGAAGGCCUUCGGGUCGUAAAGCUCUGUUGUCAGGGAAGAACAAGUAUCGGAGUAACUGCCGGUACCUUGACGGUACCUGACCAGAAAGCCACGGCUAACUACGUGCCAGCAGCCGCCGUAACAC
rnacentral:rRNA from 1 species